CAGCAGUGGGGAAUAUUGCACAAUGGGGGAAACCCUGAUGCAGCCAUGCCGCGUGUGGGUGAAGAAGGCCUUCGGGUUGUAAAGCACUUUCAGUAGGGAGGAAGGUAGUGUAGUUAACACCUGCACUAUUUGACGUUACCUACAGAAGAAGCACCGGCUAACUCCGUGCCAGCAGCCGCGGUAAUACGGAGGGUGCGAGCGUUAAUCGGAAUUACUGGGCGUAAAGCGCAUGCUGGCGGCCUGUUAAGUCAGAUGUGAAAGCCCGGGGCUUAACCUCGGAAUUGCAUUUGAAACUGGCAGGCUAGAGUCUUGUAGAGGGGGUAGAAUUUCAGGUGUAGCGGUGAAAUGCGUAGAGAUCUGAAGGAAUACCAGUGGCGAAGGCGGCCCCCUGGACAAAGACUGACGCUCAGAUGCGAAAGCGUGGGGAGCAAACAGGAUUAGAUACCCUGGUAG
rnacentral:rRNA from 1 species